AAAAAUUUAAAAGUUGAACAAACUUUUUUAUUUAAUUUCUAUUUUAAACUAAUUUUUUAAUUCAACAUCGAGGUAAUAAUCUAAAAUUUUAAUUUAAUCUAUUAAUUUUAAUUAUC
rnacentral:rRNA from 1 species